AUUAAGAUUGAUAGGAGAUUCAGAGAGAGGAGAUUAGAAAAACAAACACAUGACACUGUAACUAGAUAUCAUCCUUCACGUCCUGUGACAUAUAGCCCAAGGGGUAAUGCAGAGGCCAUGGAUAUUGGGUUCAUUAAAGGACCGCUAACCCCAGAGGAAAAGUCUCAUCGCAAGGAACAUGCUCUCUGCAUGUAUUGUGCCUCCAAGGACCAUUCAGUCACGGACUGCCCAUCUCUGAAGAGACAGAAAUCUGUGGGAAAGACAGCGACUAAACCUUGAAGCCGUUGUGGACUCUGGCGCUUAUGCCAAUUACAUUGAUUCCUCUAUAGUAAAAAAUAAAAAUAUACCGUUUGUUGUGAAAGAAAA